rnacentral:rRNA from 1 species
GACGAACGCUGGCGGCGUGCUUAACACAUGCAAGUCGAACGGAAAGGCCCUUCGGGGUACUCGAGUGGCGAACGGGUGAGUAACACGUGGGUGAUCUGCCCUGCACUUUGGGAUAAGCCUGGGAAACUGGGUCUAAUACCGAAUAUGACCGCGCACUUCCUGGUGUGUGGUGGAAAGCUUUUGCGGUGUGGGAUGGGCCCGCGGCCUAUCAGCUUGUUGGUGGGGUAAUGGCCUACCAAGGCGACGACGGGUAGCCGGCCUGAGAGGGUGACCGGCCACACUGGGACUGAGAUACGGCCCAGACUCCUACGGGAGGCAGCAGUGGGGAAUAUUGCACAAUGGGCGCAAGCCUGAUGCAGCGACGCCGCGUGAGGGAUGACGGCCUUCGGGUUGUAAACCUCUUUCAAUAGGGACGAAGCGCAAGUGACGGUACCUAUAGAAGAAGGACCGGCCAACUAC